AAAAAUCUAUCGGAUAAUUCUGCUUUUGAAAGCAAAAAGCUCAAUCUUACUUUCCAAAAAGCUCUAUCUUGUUAAGCAGCCGAUUCACAAACAUUAAAAAAUUAUAUGAAAGUACACGUACCAAAUAUUGUAGAAACAUUAAAUAAAAAAAGAGAAAAGUGAAGCACGAAGCAAAAUCCAAUUGUCUUUCUCAGUUUCGAUCUUAAUUCUUGUAGAUGUAUCUACAUAACCUUGAGCGGGGACUGGUGCUACCAUCUUCAGGGCUGAGUAUAUGAUGUUGAUCUAAAUUUCUCUUUCUUCGCCAUUUCAGUAACAAGGUGCUACCAUCUUCAGGGCUGAGUAUAUGAUGUUGAUCUAAAUUUCUCUUUCUUCGCCAUUUCAGUAACAAGCUCAUCUAAGAAAGUGAAUCUGUCAAUAGGUUGAUCCUUUACAAUUUUCCUUCUUGUUCUUUUCAGCGAGCUAGCUUGACUACACCCACUUCAGAGAAAAAGACGUGUGAUUUUAGUGAGUUAGAGCAUCAAUUUUACAGACCCGUAUGUAAAAAAGUGAGAUGGUCUAUGUUAUACCAGAAAUUGAGCAGUUAAUGCAUGUUAGUCUGGGGCUUUUGGCCGAAGGAAAGUGGAAAAAAAUUGAAAACAAUGAACCUUAAUGAAGCUCGGGCUACAGGUGUUCCUGUUUUGGCCGAUGAUGACUCUGUUGUUGUUGAUUCACAUGUAGAUCGUAUUAAUAAUAAAACAGGUGGAAAUGAUAGUGAUGAAGAGUUAUCCUUCCAUGGCCAGAAUUGGAGAGCCACUGCGUCAUGUUUCUUCUUCAAGAAAUUCGCAUCUCUCCCACAUGGGACUUUGACAUCAAAACAAUUAGGAGUAAUUUUUCUAUCAAUAUUGAGACGGAAGGUGGUGUCGAUAUCAAGUAGACGAUGUUCUUCUUGUGCACUCCUUAAUUUGGUCCAAGCUUUGUAAAACAAAUCGAUAGCCAGGAGGCAUAGAUGAUGGAUUUUUUAAAAUUUGGAAUACCCAUAAGGGACAUGCAUCAGCAGCAACAAAACUGGAGCUCAGGCAAG